UACACGACACUGUUUCCGGGUCUGGCCCCUCCCAUCCCCUCCAGCAGCACAUCCUGGAGUCCGGGGAGGCGCGGUCUUGGGAGGCGGAGUCUAGACGCAAACUCAAGGCCCCGCCCUCUAACGGCGUUUUCAGUUCUCUGCGCUCCGCCAGCCAGAGAUCGCAGGCUGUGAGAGCGGGUUUCUACUUUCGCUAGCGCCCGCCCCCUCUCGCAUUCAUUCUCGCGAGACAAGGCGCGAGGCCUGCCGAGAGCGAUGCGUGGCCUUCCGUAGGUUCGCGCAAAAUGGCAGCCCUGGAGGAAGUAUUCAUGUUGUCUUCUGUAGUUCUGGGCGCCGGGCCUGGUGGAGUCCUAGGCGUGGAGCACAGCUACAAAACAGACCAGUUUCUAGUGACCGACAGCAGCAGGGCCGUCAUUCUUUAUAAGGUUUUGAGAAUGUGGAACAGUGAAGAUGUAAACCUGGAUAAAGUAUUUAAAGCUAUAUAUUGUCGGCUGAGGUAUAUAGGAUACAUUCAAUACAAGGAACAGAACCCUUGGUACUAUUCAAGGAAGGAGCUAUUCGUGGUUUAGAGGCUUUGCUUGCAGAGCCCCAGCAGAAAAUUGAAACUAUUAUUUCCGAUGAAGAGGUGAUUAAGCUGAACCUGGAGGGUUGCUUGAGUCAGGAGUUGGAGACCAGCCUGAGCAAGAGCGAGACCUCAGUCUCUACAAAACAUAGAAAACUUAGCUGAGUGUGAUGGUCCACAUCUGUGUUCCGAGCUACCCAGGAGGCUAAGGUGGACGAAGAUUUUCAUUGUAUUUAGGCAUCCUGUUUUAAUUUUCAUUACUGAAAAAGUAAGUGAUAUCUUCAAUUCCUAGCCCAUUUUGUGAAAUUUCAAAAUCACUCAUGUUAUUUUUAAAACUAAAGUGUGUCUUUUGUCUUUCUCUUAGAUUUUUAAAUGUUUUUAUCUUUUUUAGAUAUUAAAAAGUCUAUUAGUCACUAUUUAUAAUAUUUUACACUUAAUUGGACAAGAGGUUUUUAAAUACUCAUUUAUGUAAUUACAAUGGGAUAACAACGUCUAAUUUUAAUAUUUAAAUAUAGGUGGUUGGGCCGGGCGCAGUGGCUCACGCCUGUAAUCCUAGCACUCU